rnacentral:rRNA from 1 species
CUUGACAUCCUCUGAAAACCCUAGAGAUAGGGCUUCUCCUUCGGGAGCAGAGUGACAGGUGGUGCAUGGUUGUCGUCAGCUCGUGUCGUGAGAUGUUGGGUUAAGUCCCGCAACGAGCGCAACCCUUGAUCUUAGUUGCCAUCAUUUAGUUGGGCACUCUAAGGUGACUGCCGGCGACAAACCGGAGGAAGGUGGGGAUGACGUCAAAUCAUCAUGCCCCUUAUGACCUGGGCUACACACGUGCUACAAUGGACGGUACAAAGAGCUGCAAGACCGCGAGGUGGAGCUAAUCUCAUAAAACCGUUCUCAGUUCGGAUUGUAGGCUGCAACUCGCCUACAUGAAGCUGGAAUCGCUAGUAAUCGCGGAUCAGCAUGCCGCGGUGAAUACGUUCCCGGGCCUUGUACACACCGCCCGUCACACCACGAGAGUUUGUAACACCCGAAGUCGGUGGGGUAACCUUUUUGGAGCCAGCCGCCUAAGGUGGGACAGAUGAUUGGGGUGAAGUCGUAACAAGGUAGCCGUAUCGGAAGGUGCGGCUGGAUCACCUCCUUUCUAUGGA